rnacentral:rRNA from 1 species
AUUGAACGCUGGCGGCAUGCCUUACACAUGCAAGUCGAACGGCAGCACGGGUGCUUGCACCUGGUGGCGAGUGGCGAACGGGUGAGUAAUACAUCGGAACAUGUCCUGUAGUGGGGGAUAGCCCGGCGAAAGCCGGAUUAAUACCGCAUACGAUCUACGGAUGAAAGCGGGGGACCUUCGGGCCUCGCGCUAUAGGGUUGGCCGAUGGCUGAUUAGCUAGUUGGUGGGGUAAAGGCCUACCAAGGCGACGAUCAGUAGCUGGUCUGAGAGGACGACCAGCCACACUGGGACUGAGACACGGCCCAGACUCCUACGGGAGGCAGCAGUGGGGAAUUUUGGACAAUGGGCGAAAGCCUGAUCCAGCAAUGCCGCGUGUGUGAAGAAGGCCUUCGGGUUGUAAAGCACUUUUGUCCGGAAAGAAAUCCUUGGCCCUAAUACGGUCGGGGGAUGACGGUACCGGAAGAAUAAGCACCGGCUAACUAUGU